GGGUCAGUAGGUUGGUCGUGCCUCCGGUACGUACUGGUCUCACUGAUUCCUCCUUCCUGAAGAACCGUAAUGCCAUUAAUUUGGUGUUGCGGGGAAACAGGACUGUUACUUUGAAAAAAUUAGAGUGUUUAAAGCAAGCAAACGCUUGAAUACAUUAGCAUGGAAUAAUGAAAUAGGACGAUCGAUCCUAUUUUGUUGGUUUCUAGGAUUGACGUA
rnacentral:rRNA from 1 species